rnacentral:rRNA from 1 species
AGUGAACGCUGGCGGUAGGCCUAACACAUGCAAGUCGAACGGCAGCACAGUAAGAGCUUGCUCUUACGGGUGGCGAGUGGCGGACGGGUGAGGAAUACAUCGGAAUCUACUUUUUCGUGGGGGAUAACGUAGUGAAACUUACGCUAAUACCGCAUACGACCUACGGGUGAAAGCAGGGGAUCUUCGGACCUUGCGCGAUUGAAUGAGCCGAUGUCGGAUUAGCUAGUUGGCGGGGUAAAGGCCCACCAAGGCGACGAUCCUUAGCUGGUCUGAGAGGAUGAUCAGCCACACUGGAACUGAGACACGGUCCAGACUCCUACGGGAGGCAGCAGUGGGGAAUAUUGGACAAUGGGCGCAAGCCUGAUCCAGCCAUACCGCGUGGGUGAAGAAGGCCUUCGGGUUGUAAAGCCCUUUUGUUGGGAAAGAAAAGCAGCAGGUUAAUACCCCGCUGUUCUGACGGUACCCAAAGAAUAAGCACCGGCUAACUUCGUG